rnacentral:lncRNA from 1 species
UCCAGUCUUGAUCUGGCAGAGUUUCUACAGCUGGAUACCCUCCCUAACGCCAACCACUCCGAGAGUGUAGUGGGUGCUUUUUACAUACCACCGGCAUGGGGACCAGUGAGGGGCACUGGCACCAACCAGGUUUGCAUGGUGCUUUUUACGUGCCACCGGCACAAGUGCCAGAGGGGUCUGGCAUCGGCCACG